UUAAGAUCUCAAUUCAGCACAAGGAGCUAUUUGCACAACAACCACAAUGCCAUAUCAUCGAUCAAUAACUUCUUCGGAUUCAGAGGAUGAACAUUUUAGUGAAACUGUUGAUAAGGAAAUGAGUCCGUCAGUAUCGAAAAU